rnacentral:rRNA from 1 species
AGUGAACGCUGGCGGUAGGCCUAACACAUGCAAGUCGAACGGCAGCACAGUAAGAGCUUGCUCUUACGGGUGGCGAGUGGCGGACGGGUGAGGAAUACAUCGGAAUCUACUUUUUCGUGGGGGAUAACGUAGGGAAACUUACGCUAAUACCGCAGACGACCUACGGGUGAAAGCAGGGGAGCUUCGGACCUUGCGCGAUUGAAUGAGCCGAUGUCGGAUUAGCUAGUUGGCGGGGGAAGGGCCAACCAAGGCGACGAUCCGUAGCUGGUCUGAGAGGAUGAUCAGCCACACUGGAACUGAGCCACGGUCCAGACUCCUACGGGAGGCAGCAGUGGGGAAUAUUGGACAAUGGGGGCAAGCCUGAUCCAGCCAUACCGCGUGGGUGGAGAAGGCCUUCGGGUUGUAAAGCCCUUUUGUUGGGAAAGAAAAGCAGCAGGUUAAUACCCCGCUGUUCUGACGGUACCCAAAGAAUAAGCACCGGCUAACUUCGUG